CACCCAGGGGUUGUCCCAGUGGUAAGGGCAAGUGCCAGACUUAGAAUCUCCUUGGUUUGGGGUUCGAUUCCCCACCGGAUGA